UACGUAGGGUCCGAGCGUUGUCCGGAAUUACUGGGCGUAAAGAGCUCGUAGGUGGUUUGUCGCGUUGUUCGUGAAAACUCACAGCUCAACUGUGGGCGUGCGGGCGAUACGGGCAGACUUGAGUACUGCAGGGGAGACUGGAAUUCCUGGUGUAGCGGUGGAAUGCGCAGAUAUCAGGAGGAACACCGGUGGCGAAGUCGGGUCUCUGGGCAGUAACUGACGCUGAGGAGCGAAAGCGUGGGGAGCGAACAGG
rnacentral:rRNA from 1 species